AUCUCGUAGAGUGUUAAUCUCUAACGUAGAUGAUUUUAUGCGCAAUAAUUCGCGCGUAGUAUACACACGCGUUCAUAUUACACGUACGUGCGUGUCAAAAGUCAUAUUUGAACUUGACCAAACACAUUGACGUAUUAAAGAACUUUUAAAACAAUGAUCGGGUUACAUCCGAAUCUUUAAAAUGUGCCGAUUAUUGUAAUUCAGUUGCAAAUGUGGAAACAUCCUGAUUGGUGUAUUUAAAUGAUCCAAUUGUUGAAUAUACCGUGGCCUUUCAACAGGCUGAAAGGGUCGGAAAAGUAUUCGUCCGAGAAAUGUCAAAAUGGCGUCUUCUCAGGACGCUUGGUAUCUCUCGUUGUUAGGUUUAGCUGAAAACUUUCGGACAUCGAGCCCACCAAAUAUUAAAUCAUGUAUUCAGUGUCUUCAAGCUGUCUUCAAUUUCAAACCACCACCUCGGGUCGAAGCUCGUACUCAUCUACAACUUGGAAACAUUCUUCUUACUCACACGAAAAAUAUCGAUUUGGCGCGAUCACAUCUAGAACAAGCGUGGCGUUUAAGUCAAAAUAUAAACACUUUUGACGAUGUUAAAUUUGAGGCAGCAAGUGUAGUAGCUGAAUUGUACGAACAACAGCAACAGCCAAGUUUAAGUAAACCUAUAUUAAGGAAGGCCAUAGAACUAUCUCAACAUAAUGUUUAUUGGCACUGUAGACUUAUAUUUCAAUUGGCGCAAAUACAUGCAUCCGAAAAAGAUUUCGUCGCAGCAAGUAGCUUGCUGGCUGUUGGUGUCGAUUAUUCCCAUAUUAGUAAUGCAAGUUACACACGUGUAUUAUUUUUAUUAAGUCGAUGUAUGCUCCUAUUAAUAGACAAGAAAUUUACGGAAGUCCAUACACUCUUAAAUUCAGCCGGUCACCAUGUUGAAAAUUGGCAAGGAAGUCCACAUCAAAAAGAAUACUUAAAAGUAUAUUACUUGGUGCUUCAAGUUUGUCAUUUUCUUAUGGCUGGUCAGGUAAAUAGCGUGAAACCUUGCUUAAAACAACUGCAACAAAGUAUACAAACGAUCAUGUCUCCUAAUUGGCCAACGGAUGAUGUAGUUACGGGUUCUAAUAUAGGAGAUAUGUUCAUAUGGAUGCCAAAGGAUCAUUUGUAUGUUUUGGUUUAUCUUGUAACUGUUAUGCAUUCAAUGCAAGCUGGUUAUAUGGAUGAAGCACAAAAAUACACAAAUAAGGCUCUUACCCAAAUCGAGAAAUUAAAAAUCGUUGAUAAUAAGCCGAUACUCUCUGUCUUUCAACUCAUGCUAUUAGAACAUAUAGUUAUGUGCCGCCUCGUCAUGGGAAAUAAAAGUGUGGCACUUGCAGAAAUAGCCCAGGCAUGUCAACUUUGUAGGCGGCAACCGAGAUUAUUGCAAGGCCAUCGGCCUCAACUGCAUGCUCUUUUGGGAUUAUAUGCAAUGUCUAUGAAUUGUAUGGAAGCUGCUGAAGCUCAGUUUACAGCUGCUCUUAGGACAUCUCAAGAACGAGAACUUUGGACAUUUGCAAAUUUAAAUUUGGCCAUAGUAUACCUUAGAACAAAAAGAGAUGCAGAGUUGGGUGCUUUAAUGGAAAGAAUAAAUCCAGAGUCCUUACCAUCGCAUUCACAUUCCUUGAGAGCAGCAGCAUACUAUGUUCAAGGUCUCCAAGCUUUUUUUGGAGCUAGACACAAUGAAGCCAAGAGAUAUCUUAGAGAAACGUUAAUAAUGGCAAGCUCAGAGGAUUUAAAUAGAUUAACUUCUUGUAGUCUCGUUUUGUUAGGACAUAUAUUUCUUUCAUUAGGAAAUAGUAGAGAAUCUAUGAAUAUGGUUACACCUGCCAUGCAGCUUGCUUCCAAAAUACCAGAUGUACACGUACAACUAUGGGCUACUGCUAUUCUGAAAGAUUUGUAUAGAAUUUGUGGAGAUCCUAAUCGUGAAAGUGAAGCAUAUCAAAUGCACUGUACAUUUUCUCAAACUCUCUUAAAGGAUCAUUUUCAAAGUACACAAAUGAGUGAACAUGCUCUUAUUCAAUGGACAGACGGUCCCAUACCUGUUUUGCCAAAUGACCCACCACCUUCCACAUCUCAAACAAUUCUUCAAUAAAAUUAAAAAAUACCAAUUUUGCUUAUUUACUUAAAGUAAAUGGUUGUUAAAUUAUGAAAGUAUAUAUAUCAGAUUUGCGUGACAGUGCCGUUGAACGAUCACGCAAAAACGGGCAAAAAACUAAUAGUGCAAAACUUAAUACAUAAAAAGGUUAACAUGAUAACAUCAUACCAAAGUAAAGUAAGUCAAGAUAAUGACAAUGAUAAGAAAUGAUAAUAUUGAAGAUAAUCAAUAAUUGAUCAUAAUUGUGAUUACCAGAAUGACUGAUGAAUGUUCUCUGUAUUAGUCUUAUUCAAAAUGAGAUACAACUUAUUUUAUAUAAUGGUAAAAUGUACAGUGAAUUUUAACAGUCCAAGAUAAAUAUUUUAAUAAAUUUCUAAUAACACAGAGAGAAUUUUAUAAAAUAAGGGAGUAAUAUAUUAACUAGCCUCAUUUGCGAUUAAUUUCAUUUUUUAUUAUAAAUCGAAUCGAAAAACAUUUAUUUAAUUUUCAAACGCUUUUCUGAAAUAAUCUGUUUUGCAGCUUUAUCCACUAUUAAAUAUGUGAUUUGAUCUUCAUUUUUUUCAGUCUGUAUCUUUUUUUUUUAACACACCAUGUAUCUGAUACAUAUCAACAUUAUAAAAUUUUACAUGGUGUGAUCAAUAGUUGGCAAGAUGACAAUAAUGUAUUUUGUUGUAAUCUGUUCUGAUAAGUUUAUCAAAGUAGCCAUUAAAAAUAUAGGCUGUGGUGCAGAUGGAUGGUUAAGAUAUAGUCACCGAUGCAUUUUUAUAAAUUGGAACGUAGUUAUACCUGGUAUAACAGUACCUGCAAAAUAUUUUGUAAAAAAAUGUUAUAGUACUUAUAGCAUAUAUUAAAUGCGUAUAAGCGCGCGUGUGUCCUGUGUGGUAGUUUUUGCUUGAUAUGAGUCCAUAUAUGUAUGUAGGGUAAAUAUUACCGCACAUAAUAUGAUAUAAAGUUGAUAUAUAUAUACGAUAUAUAUCGAUGUGCAAAUAUUAAUUCUUGGAUUAUAGUCAUUCUUUUUACUCAAAAAUUAAAUUAAAAUGUUUAAUCGAUAGUAAUUGCUUUAUAUUUAGAUCAAACAUGCUAUAGUAUAGAAAUAUGCAAAUGAGUAUUAUAAUAGUACAAUAGAUUAAGGGAGUAGGUUAUUAAAGGCAAGAUUACAAAUUAAAAAUGAACUUGAUUGAUGCUAAUACAAGCAAUACAUAAAAAACAUAGUAUAUGGGGCCUUAGUAGACUAUAAGAAGUGAUAAAUUUUGCCUAAAACUACUUACUCCAAUAAAUUAAAUGUUCGUCAUGUAUAUAUAUACUCGAAAUUACAAAGUUAUAUAUAAUAUGGUAUAUAAAACAAAUAUGGUUGAAACCAUGAACUAGUAACAUUAUGUAAAAAUAUUUCUUUGUCUUAAUGUAAUUAAAAUGUAAGCAAAUAAGUUGUUUACUAGAA